rnacentral:lncRNA from 1 species
CGCUGCGUCAUUGGUUCAAGCCUGUGGCCGAUAGGAGAAACCAUUGACAGUGAGGCCUCCGUCAACACAUAUGGACUGACCAGUAAUAUAUGAAGCUGCAGGUAGACAAAGGAAAGCCACAAGUGAUGCAACCUCUUUUGGUUCUCCAGCGCGACCAAGUGGAGUUCUACUAAACAAACUGUUCUUGUAACCUGCGUCUUCCAAAGCCUGAUUUUUUUUUACAAGAUUGUAAGACAUAGUAGUCAAAAGUGUAUAAUGUUAAUUGACCAUUAAAAAGAAAAAAAAAUGGUGUCGAGUGUCAUUAAUUACAGGUUCAGCCAUAGCAGAAUAGAUAAAAUUAGGAGCAACAGAAUUGGUUCGUAUGCCAUCUCUUGCCCAUUCACAUGCCAAAGUUUUUUUUUUUUUUUUAGUCGACAUUCACAUGCCAAAGUUUUUGCCAAUUGAUUCAUUACGAGACAUCUUAUUAGGAAUCCCAAAGAAAACAAUCAAUUCACCAUUGGAAAAUAGAUUUUAGUCAUCCACUAAGAUAAUUAAAUAUCUUUAAGUUUGUAUAAAUUGUGUAUAAAAAAAAUCUAUACACUCCCACGAAGCAAACACUACUGUAAAUUUUGGAGUGUAAAAGCCAAAGAAAAGAACUUACAGUGUAAUGUCAAACAGAGCAUAAAUUUCCUAUGAGUAGUCCAACUAAACCCACAAAAUUUCACAUCACAACUUUUGCUGCUAUCAGUCCAAUAGUGUAUAUAUAUAUAUAUAUAUAUAUAUAUAUAUAUUGACAUACAUCUAGUAUAAAUUAAAAUCUCUAUUUUGAUUAAUAGUCUACCGUCUAUGUAAUGUACCUUUCGUUAAACUAUAGAUGGAUCCACACUCCAUCGAUACAACUCCUCCAACAGAGGAAAUAAAGAUGUUGCUUCCAAACUCAGAAGCUUUAAGGAGAGGAUGUGAAAGUUGGCUAAGAUGAAAAGCAGAUUCCAAGUUCGUUGACAUGUGGAACGAGAAAUCUUCCGCCACAUAUUCUAUUGUUGGCUUCGUACGAGCUACACCAACGUUGUUCACCUAUGUUGAACAAAAAUGAGUUACAAAAAUCCUACUAAAUAGGUGUUCUUUCAUAUGAGAAUAUGCUUAGUUUCCUUAAGGUAACUUACAAGAAUGUUCAGCUUGCCAUCGAACAGCUUUGAGACAGUUUGCAUAAGUGUUUCCCUCUCGGAGUGAGAGGAUACAUCACAUAUUGAACCACUCACUUGAAACCCUUUCUUUUCCCAUUCGCUUAAACUUUGAUCGAGCAGUGUUUUAGAUAUGUCACACACAUGGAUUCUAGCUCCAAAACCAGCUAGCUCCUCUACUAUAGCAUGCCUAAAUCAUUCCAAAAAAAAAAAGAUAUAUAUAUAUAUAACAACAUCUAAAAUAAAUGCAUAAGAAUGGGUAAAAUAAUAUGAUAUAGCCAGAGAUUUGAAGGACACCCGAUUCCGAUGGCUCCACCGGUUACAAGAGCAGUCAUACCUUGAAGACUCCAUCUUUUAUCCAUGUUUUCUUUGCCUUUGAGUAGUAUCAAUGACUAGAGAUAUCACAUGUUAUAUAUAGAGAGACAAAUUAGCUAAAAUAAUACUACUAGCGUGCAGCAGCACGCAAUUAAAGAAAAAUUUUCAAUUGCGUGAAUAAAAAACUUUAGAUUAAAAGGACAUAGGUUUUUCCCAAAAAAGAAUAAAAGUAUGUAGGUAAGACAAUUGGGUAAAGCCGUAAAGAGAAUAAUCAAACAAAAUGAAAAUAAUAAAUAAAUAUUUCAAUCAUCCCAUUUUAUUCUUAAUUAAUUUGUUUUGGAAUAGAUGACUUUAAUUUAUUUUCCGUAUUAUCUUAUUUUUUUAUUGGGCUGUCGAAUUUCCAAAUUGAUGAUUUGAAUAAGAAAUCUCAAACUAUACUCACCAUUUAGUUAAUCGAUAUUUAUAUAAGAAAAUAUUAAAAUAUUGGAAAAAAUCACAUGUUAUAUAGUAGUUAAAUAAGACAUCUCAAAUUAUAGUCUCCAUUUAGUAAAUAGAUGUCUAUAUAAGAAAAUAUUAUACUACUGGGAAAAUGCACAUGUCAUAUAGUAGUUAAUUAAUAAGGAAUCUCAAACUAUAGUGUUCUAUAUAUAUAUAUAUAAUAUUAAUUUAUUGGAAAAAAUCACAUGUCUUAAAGUACAAAAAUGUUAAUGUAUUAAAUAUACAUUACAUACGUUCAACAUCCAUGUACUAUACUUAUAUUGUAAAACACAUAAUAAAUAAUAGUAUAUUUUAUUAAUCAAUGGUUCGUGUAGAAUGCUAUUGUUAAAUUAUAUGAUAAAUCAUAUAUAUCUUAACUACACAAAAAUUAUAGGUAUAAAUAGUAUUAUCUGCACCAUUUUAACAAGUAUAUUAGGGUUUUAUUGUACAAUACUAUCAUCUAAGUUACGUGAUCAUCAAUCAUACAUCUCAAGUUCUAAAAUUUUAUAGAUAUAAAUAAUAUCAUCUGUACGACACUAAUUUCGAAAAAUAUGAAUACAUAGGUUAGGUGUGUACAAAGAUUAGAAGCCAAAAUACUACUUAGGUUAGAAUAGAUGAAAUAAAGAAUAUUAUAAACUUGCUCGGAAAAGUUCAGGUUGAAUUAAAUUAAUAGCGAAAGAAUAUAUUAGUAACAUGCAUGGUCGAUAAAUUAUAAAGGAAGACUCAAAUGAUUGUCGAAAAAAAAAUGACUCAAAUGAAAGUUGACAAAGACUCAAAGAAAACAAAGACUGUAAAUAUUCGUGUACAAUAAUGCCGAAGUAGGUUACGUGUAUGGAAGAUGAUGCGACGGUAUUUUCUUUAUAAUUUCGUAUUAAUAAACAUAUUUUAUUAUAUAGUUUGGUGUUUCUUCAAAAUAUUUUUUCGUUUCUUUCUCUUUCUUGAUUUAAAUACCGUUUUGAGUGAACUAUAAAAUCUAUCUCAUUAGUCUCUCGAAGAGGCAGAACCUAUCUUUUCUUCCUGUGAAUCUAUUUGUAGCAACCACAUUCCAAUAUCUACACCACUUUUUAUAGGGGUUAAAACUUCUCAGCUAUACCUUUCCUACACGAGAGCUUUGGGUCAAUUUUACAUUCCUAGCAAAUAAGACAUGUGACGACACUGAGACUUCUUUUGCCUAAGAACCAUCGUCAUGAUAUAUUUAAUUAGAUGACAUGAUAUGUGCCUAACCUUAGCUUUCUAACAUGACAUAUGCACCUAAUUAUACUACAUGACAUGACAUGUGUCUGUAACUAUUUUUUCCUAUAAAUCUUCUUGUACUUAUUUUAUAGGGGUUGAAACUUGUCAGCUCAUACCUUUCCUACCAGGGAGUUUUGGCUCAAUUUCACAUUCCUACUCUAUCAUCAAUAAGACAUGACAACAUUAACACUAUAUGUGCCUAAUGACUUUCUUCAUGCUAUAUUUGAUACAUUUAUCUAUGUUUUCUAAAUAAACAGUUUUUAUUUUCUCAGUUUAGUUAGAAAUAUUGUUUUUGAAGUUCGAGUCGACCCAUCUUUUUUCUUCACUUGCAUAAAAUUCGAGUCGAUCCAUCUUUUUUCACUUGCACUUUUUCAAACAAACAAAAAUAUGAUAUUAUGAAAUGAUAAAUCACCUUUAUAUACCCCUCUUUGUUUUUUUUUUUUGCCACUCAUCUUCCUUAUUUGUGGGUUGGAUUGAUGCGUAAUACCGAACAAUAAAAAUGUGGUUUCGCUAUCUAGAGUUUGCAAAAUAUAUCUAACUUGAACAUGAGAUGGGAUAUUAUAAAGGUCUUAAAUUUGACCCCCCCCCCCCCAAAAAAAAAAAAACACAUUAUUGAAAGAUUGGACGUUGUCAACGUAUGGGCCGAUUACUUUGGAAAGACCCAUAAGAAGUGGAAGUGGCGUUGCGAGAACGUGUUCGGCGGGAACAAACUUUGCUACAAACAUAAGAAACAAACGAAGAAUUAUUCUUAUUUCGUUUAUUCUUACGUUCGGAGAAAACAAGGCAUGUUUAUUCUUAUUUGCUACAAACAUAAGAAACAAACGAAGAAUUAUUCAAACACUUCAUCUUGAUUGUAUAUUUCAGUCUUGGUCUUUUUAUUUGGGUUGGUCAAUGGUUAAUGUCUCAUCACACACCCUUUCGUCUUCACAGCCUUGCUGCGAUCAAUGAAGCAUGAGAGUUUUUGUUCCUUGGCGGAAACUUUAGAUCCUUCCAUCCCUCCUCUUCCUCCACUCUCUCAAAGUACUCAUCCACCGUUAAAUCCUUUAUGUCUUCCAGACGCCUUGGCUCCCACUAUAAUUUCAGCAAUAUAUACGACAUUACAUCAACAGUAUGACAUAACAGAAAAGAUAGUUAAUGAAGAUAUUUUUUUUUAACCUUGGGGUUCUUAUCUUUGUCUACCAGUACUGCUCUACAUCCCUACAUAAGCAAGACACGUUUUAAUUCCGUCAAAACAAAAGGACAAUAUGAGGAUAUAAUACAAUCGGUAAAGCCGAAAAAACCUCCACUAAGUCUUUGCUUAAAUCUCCCUUCAUCACAUGACACACCAUUCUAUACUCACGGAUAAGGCACUGUCCCACUCCUUGCAAUCUUCCUUCUCUUAUCUGAAACUUAUAUACACACAAUCAGAUUUUUGUCUCAUAUAUUGCAUGUGACAGAUUUUGGGAACUAACCGAUCUAAGAGAAAUUUUAAGGCUUGAUGGUGAUGCCUUCUUCAAUGCAGAAAUGGUUGUUGAGAUCCAAUCAUUUGGUUCCUGAGUGGGCCGAGUGGCCUCUCUCUCCUGACCAAUACAUAUAUGAUGGUACAGUGCACUGUCAAAGGUAACACUAUAUAUGAUCGUAAGUCAACAUUUCCUAUAUAUUAGUAAUCAAAAACUUACAAGUGCAGAUACAAUUUCCUCCACUGUUCUUUUCGAGAAGCACCUAUCAAUAACAUCUAACCUGCGUAACAAAAAAAAAUAACUAUUGAAGAGCUACUAUGACAUGGAUCCUAUAAAGGAAGAUUGAAAACUGAUACCAAUACUAGGUUUGAAAUUAAUAAAAAUGUAACGUACUCAUGAACAUUAAUAGAGAAAAUGUUUUUACACAUUACUUUAAAAUGCUUGUGAUGUUGGCAUGACAAAAGAUAUUCGGAAAAUUAAUAUACACUUGCCUGUGGUAAGCACUGUUCUGUUUAACGUGCGGAUGCUGAGUGUAUGCAUCAAGAAUUGUUGAGGCAAAGCUUGGAUCACUUGAACGAACUGUGCAAAGAUCUGCUUCUAGUGCAGUUAACCUCUGUGAAAAGGAGUACUCUUACUAAGUAACGAUCAUUGGCGAAGUAAAUAUAUAUAAAGUCUAAUAAUAGUCUUUCAGAGUGUCAAAGGAAAAGGAGACAAUGAGAAAUUAAAAUAGAGAACCAUAAUUUUAAAACAAGAGGCCACAGUAUAGAAUAAUUAUGCUCCUCUAUUUUAAAUUAGUUGGACAUUAAAACAGAGAAGCAUAAUAUAUACAUUUUUCUAUUAUACGUUUUAUUUUAAUAACUUGAAACACGUUGUCUCGAUGAAAUAUAAUAUUAUGUUGUAUAUAAUAUGUAAUGAAAAAAACGAAGAACAAAGAAUUUGUAUAUAAAAAAAACAUGGUUAUGUUAAACAGAGCCAUAUACUUCAUGUUGUAAAGUAAAGGCAUUCAUUCCACCAAAAGAUUAUAAAAUUUAAAAGGCCGUAUGUUUUUCCUUUUAUCAAAAUUUGCAUGUCUCAAAAAUUUACUUUCCCUGAAGCCUCUAUAGACCUUGCAUGGCAUUGCGUUAACAUUUUUAAGUAAAUACUUUAUCUUAUCUUUUUUUAUUAUUAUCAUUAUUUGGUGCCCUACUUUUAGCCUAAACAUGGCUUUUGCCGGCAAUGGGGAAUACUAAAGUCGUAAGAAGAGGAAGUUCAUACCGUUGAAGGCACAAAAUGAGUAGCAAGACCACAAGCAAGCAUUUCGGCGCCAUCUAACUUAGCUCCAGUGAGGCCAACAUACUCUCCUGAACAUGAAAACAUGCAAGGAAGGUUGAGGGAGUGAGUAGGCUUGAACUUUUUGGGACAUGCAAAAGAAAAUUAAUGACGUUUGUUACCAAAAUAUCCAGGGAGCCUUGACAAGAAAUAGGAGGCUCCUACGUCUGGAAAGAGUCCUAGAGCUGUCUCAGGCAUUGCAAAAACCUUGGAAAACCUCAAAAGAUAUGUAAGCGACAUGAGUAUAUUACAGAUCGAUAUCUAUUUUUCAUCCAUGCAUGGACAUGUUUAAGAAAAGUAUACGUACCGUGUUCUCAGUUGCAAUGCGAAAUCGACCAUGGAUGGAGACACCAGCUCCACCUCCCAUGACAAUACCAUUCAGAAUUGAAACCUAUAAUUGAAUUUCAAAACCGUAUGGAAAAAUAAACCGUACACUCUUAUGAGUCAUUAAAUUCACUAAAGGGACGGUACGUAUGCUGAGACCUGAGCUUUGCCAUACGUGGCCAGGACAUAGUUGAGCGUGUAUUGGUCUGAGAAAAAAUCGGCACCGAGUCUCCAUUUGCCUAGUCAACGUAAUAUGGAAAAAAAAAAGUGUGUAGAAACUAAAAAAUAAGUAAAAGGAAACAGAAAGAUGUUUAAUUACACUACAAAAAAAAAUGUUGUUUAACAUCAUUUAUUUUUAAUAUUUGUAAUUACGAGAGGGUUAAUAUUGAUAUAUACCUUUUACGAUGUUACUAAGAACAGGUGGAAUGUCACCACCAGCAGAAAAGGCUCUUCCCUGACCCUUAAGGAUGACAAGUUUCACUCCAGGGUCUUCCUCAUAUGCACAGAACAGUUGCAGCAACCGAGAGAUCUAGAGAAUGAUAUAUGCUGUUAAUAAGGGAAAGAUUAAUAAACACCAUGAAACAAGGGAAACGACUCAAUACCAUGUUAGAGGACAGAGCAUUCAGUGCCUUGGGUUUGUUUAAUGUCAAGAUUCUAACACUUCCUUUCUCUUCCACCAGAACCUGUGAUGCAAUAAUAUUGAUUCAGACUUCAGAGAGCGAAGAAUUUGAUCGGUCGUGUUUAAGAUCGGAUAAAACUGACCUGAGAGUGAGAGGCCAUGUCGUUGGACGUCGAUCGUUUUCUUCUUCUCUUCGUUGCUUACGGGAUUUGAGAAUGUUUCUUCUCUUCUCUUCUCUUCUUUUCUUGGACCAAAAUAUAUAUAGUUCCAUUUUUUUCCCGGUAGCUCAAUUUUAAAAUACUUAGAAAAAGAAAUUGUAAAUAGAAAAAGAUUGGUUUUCCAACACAUUGUUCACACAUCUAAACUAAAUAAAUGCAUCACUACCUACACGAAUAAUUGAAUUUGUAUGGUAACAUGUAUAUUUAUUUAUCAAUGCAACACAAUAAUAAGUUAUUAACCAUUAUCUAUUCUUUUUUUUUGGACCCGAUAUUUCAAUUAAAUGUUUUGUCAUUCGGGAUGUGAUUUUUACUGGAUCAUACAACUUCUUUCUUACUAGAUCAUCAUUUUCGUCUUUCUGUAAUGAUUUUGGUACCAAGUGUUAUGAUGUUGUGAUAAAUUUAUUUUUGUUUAUGUAGUAUAUUAAUUUUAUACAGAUAUGUUCCCAUGUGCUGCUAUAUAUAUCAUGUAAAUACCAUUCAUUAUUUAUUGUAAAUUAUAAUAUAUUGUAUUAGAAGAUGUACGAUGACCUCGCCCGCCCACGCAAAAAAUAUGUGAUUUAUUUAUUUGUUUUGAUGGUUGUAUAUUUUUUUUGUAAAAUAAAAAAUGAAAAAGGUAAAAAUAUAUGUUAACUUGGAUUGUGAAGCUAUGAUAAGAUGAGAUAUCAAACUUUUACAUUUUUGUUGUUGUUCCCGCCAUCAACGUAAGUAUUACUGCUAAAGGAUUUACGUGAGAGACAGAUAAGAAUACAGCCUUGAUACUUUGGUUUUUGUUUCCAAACUCAACCUAAACGCAUUUAUUUUCUCUUUUCUUUUUUCUUUUUCACACGAAACGCAUCCAAGUAACCAUAGAAUUUUGAGAAGGAUUACGCGAAUGAAAGUAAAGUGUCUACAAAAGAUUGUUAAUGUCUUCUCUCCAAGAAUCUGAAGUGUUCCAAAACUUGAAUGAUAUAAGUGUUGGUCAAGAUAAUGCUGUUGAUGCAAUCAUCGUUUGCUAUUACACGUUCUUUUCCUUUAUUUUCAUAAUCUCUACUUUAAAUUGAGUUGAUAACGUUUUAUUUAAAGAUAUAAUUAAGGGAUUAUAUAAAUAAAAACAAGCUUGAUAAUGGAUAAAUAUGUGAAAAUUAUGCGAACAAUUCUCAUGGCUUUUCCAUACGCCGUUAGGUCAGAGGCGUAACAUGGGAAAAUAAAGGAGCAUGUAAUCGUGCCUUGCUUGAAAAAUGCCAAGUGGGAAUUAAGCAAUAGCAAAAGAAUCAAAGAGUGAAAAAGGAAACAACUUCUAUAAACAAUAUGGUCGGAAGAAGACUUAAAUGAUGGUUAUAAAAAAAAGACUCGAAUGGAAUCUGUGUAUAACUAAGGGUUACGUUACGUGUAUGACGACGCCACUCGAUCUCAUAUUUUAUAACAAAAGUCCAGCAUAAUCCCAUAACUCUAACUGUAUUCGGCUAGUAAUAUCUUUACUGUUACUUGUAAAAUGAAAUGAUAUUUUUUUAUAAAGAAAAUACGCAACAUGAUGCUUGUACAAACUACAAAGCCAGUCAUAGUAAAUUUCAAAGAAAAUACACAAUAUAAUUAAUAGUCAUAAUAAAUUUCAAAGAAAAUACACAAUAUAGGUCAUUUUAUUUUGGUAGAAACACAAUAUAGGUCUUUGUUUUGUUACAUUUUUAUUUAACUUCAAAAAUCAAAACAACUUGUAUUCUAUUAUCUAUCGAAGUGAGAGGACGGAAAUAUUUUAUUUAACCAAAGACUUUUUGUCUUAUUAGAUUGAGACUUUGCAAAUAGCUUUUUAUAAAGAACAGAACUCAUCAAAACUAAUAUUUUAUAGCAAAUACGAGUCAAUAUUAACUAGAUUAGUUUUUCCGAUAUUUUUAAUUAAUUUUUUGCACUAUUACAAUAUUAGUCAAACAAAUUUGGGAUGGGUGGGAGAGGGCUACGUAUAAGGGCUUACGACAUGCAUAUUUCUUAUAAAAAUGAAACAUUGGCUUACGACACAUAUACAUAUUUCGUUUUUUAAAACAAUUUGGGGCAUGUCGAUUAAUAUUUAACCUAGUGCAGGACAUGACAUAAAAAGAAAGAAAAAAACAUCCUUGGCAAGAAAAAUACCAAUCAGAUUAUCAAUAUAUAUUUAUACUUUUGAAUUGUAUAAUAUAUAUUUGAAAUGAGUACACAAUUCCUUUUUGUAUUAAGUUAAUUAAGUCUGGUUAGUUGUAAUGAUAUUUGACAGGGAAAUAUACAAGAUCGAAUAUUCAAUAAUCUUAAACUGGUGAUGGUAUAUCGAAACCAAGAUUUUUAGUGAAUUCAAAACUCUAAAACUUGUUAUGCAUCACGCUGCAUGACGAUAAUUUCCAUAUUUAUAAAGAUUAAUACUUAACCGAAUAGUUAGAAUUUUAAAAUUCGUCAUUGUGGCAUGCACCGUACGUGAUGCAGCCUGACGCUGCAUGAUGACGAUAAUUUCUGUUCAUAAAGAAAAUUCCAAACUGUGGCAUAGUAGUCCAAUAGUUCCAAAGCAAAAAAAUGGCUUUCUCAUUUUUACCAUGUUUUUAUUAAUGGAGUGUGGAUUUGUACACAUGCAUAAAAACAAAAGACUUUUGUUACAAAAAAAAUAAUGAAUGUUACAAUAGUAAAGAAGACUUUUGUUAAAUAAAAGAAUGACUUUUGUAGAGCUUUGACAAGAAGUAGGAGGCGCCUAUGUCUCAUGUAUGUAAACAUGCUUGGAGUAACUCAAAAGAGACGUACAAAACGAUAUGAGCAUAUUUGAGAGUGAUCAAUUAGUCAUCCAUGGUUGCAGUACGAAAGCGACCAUGGUUGGAGACACCAUCAACUAAUAUUCAUCCAUCUAAUAAUAAUACCCAAGCAACAUGAAAAACGAGGAACCAACUUGGCUAUGAUAGUUACCAACUAAUUGAAGUUCGCAAAGAAAUAUGUUAAACUGAAGUUUCCUCUUUAUGGUUUUUAUUAACGAUAAACAAACAAAGGAACGACUAAACAUCGAAGCAAAACCAAAGUAGGAAUCUACUUAUGGAUAAUACAAACACACACACACACACACACACACACACAAGACCCAUAAAGGAAAUAGACUUAGACUUGUACGCUGCAUCACCACCAAUGCACCCAAGACUAAAGGCUCAAGGCUGUGGCUUAUAGGAGAAACCGUUGACAGUGAGACCUCCAUCAACACAAAUGGUCUGUCCAGUUAUAUAUGAAGCUGCAGGUAGACACAGAAAAGCCACAAGUGAUGAAACUUCUUUAGGCUCUCCAACGCGACCAAGUGGAGUUCUACUGACCAAACUCUUCUUGUAAGCGGUGUCUUC